AGUGAACGCUGGCGGUAGGCCUAACACAUGCAAGUCGAACGGCAGCACAGUAAGAGCUUGCUCUUACGGGUGGCGAGUGGCGGACGGGUGAGGAAUACAUCGGAAUCUACUUUUUCGUGGGGGAUAACGUAGGGACACUUACGCUAAUACCUCAUACGACCUACGGGUGAAAGCAGGGGAUCUUCGCACCUUGCGCGAUUGAAUGAGCCGAUGUCGGAUUAGCUAGUUGGCGGGGUAAAGGCCCACCAAGGCGACGAUCCGUAGCUGGUCUGAGAGGAUGAUCAGCCACACUGGAACUGAGACACGGUCCAGACUCCUACGGGAGGCAGCAGUGGGGAAUAUUGGACAAUGGGCGCAAGCCUGAUCCAGCCAUACCGCGUGGGUGAAGAAGGCCUUCGGGUUGUAAAGCCCUUUUGUUGGGAAAGAAAAGCAGCAGGUUAAUACCCCGCUGUUCUGACGGUACCCAAAGAAUAAGCACCGGCUAACUUCGUG
rnacentral:rRNA from 1 species